GAUGAACGCUAGCUACAGGCUUAACACAUGCAAGUCGAGGGGCAGCAUGGUCUUAGCUUGCUAAGGCCGAUGGCGACCGGCGCACGGGUGAGUAACGCGUAUCCAACCUGCCUUACACUCUUGGACAGCCUUCUGAAAGGGAGAUUAAUACAAGAUGUUAUCAUGAGUAAGCAUUUUCGCAUGAUUAAAGGUUUACCGGUGUAAGAUGGGGAUGCGUUCCAUUAGAUAGUAGGCGGGGUAACGGCCCACCUAGUCUUCGAUGGAUAGGGGUUCUGAGAGGAAGGUCCCCCACAUUGGAACUGAGACACGGUCCAAACUCCUACGGGAGGCAGCAGUGAGGAAUAUUGGUCAAUGGGCGCUAGCCUGAACCAGCCAAGUAGCGUGAAGGAUGAAGGCUCUAUGGGUCGUAAACUUCUUUAUAUAAGAUAAUGACGGUACUCAACAAGGAAGUGACGGCUUAAACGUACGUG
rnacentral:rRNA from 1 species